GAUGAACGCUGGCGGCGUGCCUAAUACAUGCAAGUCGAGCGAACAGACGAGGAGCUUACUCCUCUGACGUUAGCGUCGGACGGGUGAGUAACACGUGGAUAACCUACCUAUAAGACUGGGAUAACUUCGGGAAACCGGAGCUAAUACCGGAUAAUAUAUUGAACCGCAUGGUUCAAUAGUGAAAGACGGUUUUGCUGUCACUUAUAGAUGGAUCCGCGCCGCAUUAGCUAGUUGGUAAGGUAACGGCUUACCAAGGCAACGAUGCGUAGCCGACCUGAGAGGGUGAUCGGCCACACUGGAACUGAGACACGGUCCAGACUCCUACGGGAGGCAGCAGUAGGGAAUCUUCCGCAAUGGGCGAAAGCCUGACGGAGCAACGCCGCGUGAGUGAUGAAGGUCUUCGGAUCGUAAAACUCUGUUAUUAGGGAAGAACAAAUGUGUAAGUAACUAUGCACGUCUUGACGGUACCUAAUCAGAUAGCCACGGCUAACUACGUG
rnacentral:rRNA from 1 species